rnacentral:rRNA from 1 species
UACGUAGGGUGCAAGCGUUAAUCGGAAUUACUGGGCGUAAAGCGUGCGCAGGCGGCUUUGCAAGACAGAUGUGAAAUCCCCGGGCUCAACCUGGGAACUGCAUUUGUGACUGCAUGGCUAGAGUACGGUAGAGGGGGAUGGAAUUCCGCGUGUAGCAGUGAAAUGCGUAGAUAUGCGGAGGAACACCGAUGGCGAAGGCAAUCCCCUGGACCUGUACUGACGCCCAUGCACGAAAGCGUGGGGAGCAAACAGG